rnacentral:rRNA from 1 species
UACGUAGGGGGCAAGCGUUGUCCGGAUUUAUUGGGCGUAAAGAGCGUGUAGGCGGCUGACCAAGUCCUGCGUGAAAUCUUGCGGCUCAACCGCAAGCGGUCGUGGGAAACUGGUCGGCUAGAGUGCGGGAGAGGAGAGUGGAAUUCCUGGUGUAGCGGUGAAAUGCGUAGAUAUCGGGAGGAACACCAGUGGCGAAGGCGAGUCUCUGGGAUGAUGCUGACGCUGAGGCGCGAAAGCGUGGGGAGCAAACAGG